rnacentral:rRNA from 1 species
UACGUAGGGGGCGAGCGUUGUCCGGAUUUACUGGGUGUAAAGGGCGUGUAGCCGGGCCGGCAAGUCAGAUGUGAAAUCCCGCGGCUCAACCGCGGAACUGCAUUUGAAACUGUUUUUCUUGAGUAUCGGAGAGGUAAUCGGAAUUCCUAGUGUAGCGGUGAAAUGCGUAGAUAUUAGGAAGAACACCAGUGGCGAAGGCGGAUUACUGGACGACAACUGACGUUGAGGCUCGAAAGCGUGGGGAGCAAACAGG